GAGCAACAUUGGAAGAUGUGGAAUUUGGAGUUGGAAUUUUCAAAAUAUCUGUUGUUACCAUGGAAACAAUGCAAAAAGGUCAAAAUUUUCAAAAAAAAUAAAAAUGCUGCAAACUGGAUGAAACUUUACAGGAAUGGUCACUAGCAUACGCAGAGCUGACUUUUGAAGUUGAAAUUUUCAAAAUGGCCGCCGUAACCAUGGAAACAGC
rnacentral:lncRNA from 1 species